AUCCUUGCGGGGAUCAUAGCGCUAUCAGCGACGCUUAGCGGAGGUGCGCUGUUUGCUAUAUAGUUGGAAACUACUCCAAUUCCCGUCAAGUUUGAUCGUCAAGGUCAUUCUUGACCAUCAUGCUAUAUUUUUAG
rnacentral:snRNA from 1 species